CAUCAUUUUACAGUCAUUACAAGAAAACAAAACAGAUCGUUCUCCAAAACACAUGCCAUUUCUGACCACUAGGUGGAGGUCACACCCCAGAAAUGCUUUCUUGCCCACAGGAGGGACAACAAAAUUAUAUAAGCGAACAUUUUCAUGCUUGACCCAUCCUGAUGGUUCGGCCGUGGCUCGAGGCGCGUCUUUCACAAGCACAAACCAAACAGACCACUCGACUCAACCAAGAGCCUUUCUGAAUUUAUCCAUGCUCGCUCAGUCAGGAAGAGGUUGCUAUUAGCAACAAGACGAACCACCUAUACUGCAUAGCAACAGACUCACAUGAUCAGCCAUGCAACAGCUGGAAGGCCAAAGCGACGACCUUCACACUGAAAACCUAAUUCUGUUAGAGGAGACGCGGCGCAGCCAGAUUACUGAUUCUCUUGACAGAUCUCAUUCUGUGAUUGUUCUACUGUAUAUCCACAGGGGAACGCUAAAUAUCAAGCCAGAUGUUCAUCACUCUCAGUGUCCAUCAUACAAGAGUCAAGUUACUUUCAUUCAUUUAACAGCACGGAUUGUUGGAAUGCAACUUGAAGUCCCUUUAUUAAUCUGGGGUCGCCACAGCAGAAUGAACCA